UUCUGCGAAUUGUUUUGGCAAUUGUUUAUUCCUCUUAAAAAUAGUAGGUAUAGCACUGAAUAUCUCGAGGGAGUAUGAAAAUAUUUAUCUCAGAUAUUUAAUCUCAAAAUAACUAUUUCUUAAAAUAAAUAAUCAGACUAUGUGCGAUAAGGUAGAUAGUCGAAAGGGAAACAGCCCAGAACAGUAAUUAAAGCUCCCCAAUUAA
rnacentral:rRNA from 1 species